rnacentral:tRNA from 2 species
GCCGAAGUGGCGGAAUUGGUAGACGCGCUGGAUUCAAAAUCCAGUUCUCGCAAGAGAGUGCGGGUUCGAUUCCCGCCUUCGGUA